GGCAUUCAGAGUAGGUGGGCACAGGGAUCACAGGGCUGUGGUUAGGUCUCCGUUGGGCCUGCCUGGUUAUGUUUCAGAGGUGGUGAAUGAAGGUGACAGACACAGUCCUCCUUGCCCAGAAGGACUGAACUUGGGGAAGUUGGUGAGUGGUGUCUUCUAAGGAAGAACAUUGAUGAAAUCUGCAUUCAGGCAUGGUUAGAAAGCAUAUUAGGAUCUCUGAGUUGCUUCUCCAGGGGGUGGUGGGAGCUGGUGUCCAGUGACCUUGGUGCCUGGCAGCUGGAGUUUCUUCCUGACUAUCUGCCCCUGGCCAGUCAGUGGUACCUGCAUUCUGCACACAGUGGCUCCUUAUCACCUUGAUUUUCCACUUAAUAAGGAAAAAUGUGCAUCAGAAUAGGCAGAUCAUCAACCUGACCCGCAUCUGAGUGUGAGGAGAAUGUGCCCCACCUGCUGCAGAGACAGUUGGCCAGAACUUGGGCUUUUUAAAUUAAAACUGCAGUAACUGCAUUUAUAAAGAGAGGAGUAGCAAUCUUGUCAACAGAUCCUGUCACCUGUCUGACUUGCUUAUGUGGUUGUUAACCGAGAUGACCAUGAGGACUAGACACAUGACAAAAUGAGUAGGGGAGGACUGGAAUAAUCCAUCAGGAGAGGUAGGGACAGGGACAGAAUGGGGUCUUGCAUCAGUGGGCUCCAGGCGAUUGCUGAUGUGUUGGGAUCUGGAGCUGGGUUCAGCAUGGCUUCCGGUUAUUCAAGAUAAGUUAGAAAAUGGUUGACUGAAGCUGAGAAAAUGCUAGCUUUCUAGGCU
rnacentral:lncRNA from 1 species